rnacentral:rRNA from 1 species
UUAAGGGCAUUUGGUGGAUGCCUUGGCAUGCACAGCCGAUGAAGGACGUGAUACGCUGCGAAAAGCCAUGGGGAGCUGCGAAUACGCUUUGAUCCAUGGAUAUCCGAAUGGGGAAACCCACCUUAGAUACUUGGAAAUUCAAACAAGCCGUACGGCUUGACCAUUCAUGCCCUCGGGCCUGUUUGGUUUCCAAGUAUCGAGACAAGGUAUCUUAUCCUGAAUACAUAGGGAUAAGAAGGGAACGCGGGGAACUGAAACAUCUAAGUACCCGUAGGAAAGGACAUCAACCGAGACUCCGUCAGUAGCGGCGAGCGAACGCGGACCAGGCCAGUGGCGAUUGGGAGACAAGCGGAACAUUCUGGAAAGGAUGGCCAUAGUGGGUGACAGCCCCGUACGCGUAAUGCAACCAAUCGUCCUCGAGUAAGGCGGGACACGUGAAAUCCUGUCUGAACGUGGGGGGACCACCCUCCAAGCCUAAGUACUCGUGCAUGACCGAUAGCGAACCAGUACCGUGAGGGAAAGGUGAAAAGCACCCCGACAAGGGGAGUGAAAGAGUACCUGAAACCGGAUGCCUACAAACAGUCGGAGCGCGCAAGCGUGACGGCGUACCUUUUGUAUAAUGGGUCAACGACUUAAUGUGGCGAGCAAGCUUAAACCGAUAGGUGUAGGCGCAGCGAAAGCGAGUCUGAACAGGGCGUUCAGUUCGUCGCAUUAGACCCGAAACCGAGUGAUCUAGCCAUGAGCAGGCUGAAGGUUGGGUAACACCAACUGAAGGGCCGAACCCGUAUCUGUUGCAAUAGAUUGGGAUGACUUGUGGCUAGGGGUGAAAGGCCAAUCAAACUCGGAAAUAGCUGGUUCUCUGCGAAAUCUAUUUAGGUAGAGCGUCAGCCGAAUACUCCCGGGGGUAGAGCACUGGAUGGGUAAUGGGGACUCACCGUCUUACUGAUCCUAACCAAACUCCGAAUACCGGGAAGUAAUAGCUGGCAGACACACGGCGGGUGCUAACGUCCGUCGUGGAGAGGGAAACAGCCCAGACCGCCAGCUAAGGUCCCAAAAUUAACGCUAAGUGAUAAAGGAGGUGGGAUUGCCCAGACAACCAGGAGGUUUGCCUAGAAGCAGCCAUCCUCAAAGGAGUGCGUAAUAGCUCACUGGUCGAGCGAUCCUGCGCCGAAAAUGAACGGGGCUAAGCGUUAUACCGAAGCUGCGGAUAAAUUUAUUUAUGGUAGGGGAGCGUUCUAUGUAGGGUGAAGCGUUAGCGUAAGCGGACGUGGACAGCAUAGAAGUGAGAAUGUCGGCUUGAGUAGCGAAAACAUGGGUGAGAAUCCCAUGCCCCGAAACCCUAAGGGUUCCUCCGGCAGGCUCGUCCGCGGAGGGUUAGUCUGGACCUAAGGCGAGGCCGAAAGGCGUAGUCGAUGGAUAACAGGUCAAUAUUCCUGUACCAGUUGUGUUUUGGGAAGGGGGACGGAGAAG